ACUCCUACGGGAGGCAGCAGUGGGGAAUAUUGCACAAUGGGCGCAAGCCUGAUGCAGCAACGCCGUGUGAGUGAAGAAGGUUUUCGGAUCGUAAAACUCUGUCCUAAGGGAAGAAAAAAUGACGGUACCUUAGGAGGAAGCCCCGGCUAACUACGUGCCAGCAGCCGCGGUAAUACGUAGGGGGCAAGCGUUAUCCGGAAUCACUGGGCGUAAAGGGUGCGUAGGCGGCUUGACAAGCCAGGGGUGAAAGGCAUUGGCUCAACCAAUGUAAGCCUUUGGAACUGUUAAGCUUGAGUGCAGGAGAGGUAAGUGGAAUUCCUAGUGUAGAGGUGAAAUUCGUAGAUAUUAGGAGGAACACCAGUGGCGAAGGCGACUUACUGGACUGUAACUGACGCUGAUGCACGAAAGCGUGGGUAGCGGAACAGGAUUAGAUACCCUGGUAGCACAGAG
rnacentral:rRNA from 1 species